rnacentral:rRNA from 1 species
UACAGAGACUGCAAGCGUUAUUCGGAUUCACUGGGCGUAAAGGGUGCGCAGGCGGCCAAGUGUGUUAGGCGUGAAAGCCCGGGGCUUAACCCCAGAAUUGCACCUAAAACUACAUGGCUAGAGCAUUGGAGAGGGUAGCGGAAUUCACGGUGUAGCAGUGAAAUGCGUAGAUAUCGUGAGGAACACCAGAGGCGAAGGCGGCUACCUGGACAAUUGCUGACGCUCAGGCACGAAAGCGUGGGGAGCAAACAGG